rnacentral:misc_RNA from 1 species
UUGAGUGAGUUUUGAGUAUUUCCUAUUUUGAUAAUAACUUUGAGUUGAUUUUAGCAUGAAAGAAUAAACUCAAUUGAGCUCGAAUUGUAUUUCAAGUAUUUGGUUUUCUAAGAGUCAACUUUGAAUAGUGUACCAUAUUGACUAAACUCAGAUUGAUUAUACUUUAUGAUUUUCCAAAAUAUUGUCAAAUAAGAUAUGUUAAAGGUUUAAUUCUUUCCAUUUCCCUUUUUAACUUUGGGGAUAAGUAUAGUAUAGACUUUAGACUGCAUUUGUUUUUGAGUGGGAAUUCUG